rnacentral:rRNA from 1 species
AACGAACGCUGGCGGCAGGCUUAACACAUGCAAGUCGAACGGGUGUAGCAAUACAUCAGUGGCAGACGGGUGAGUAACACGUGGGAACCUUCCUAGGGGUACGGAACAACUCAGGGAAACUUGAGCUAAUACCGUAUACGUCCGUGAGGAGAAAGAUUUAUCGCCCUUAGACGGGCCCGCGUCGGAUUAGCUAGUUGGUGGGGUAACGGCCUACCAAGGCGACGAUCCGUAGCUGAUCUUAGAGGAUGAUCAGCCACACUGGGACUGAGACACGGCCCAGACUCCUACGGGAGGCAGCAGUGGGGAAUCUUGGACAAUGGGCGCAAGCCUGAUCCAGCCAUGCCGCGUGAGUGAAGAAGGUCUUCGGAUUGUAAAGCUCUUUUGCCAGGGACGAUAAUGACGGUACCUGGAGAAUAAGCCCCGGCAAACUUCGUGCCAGCAGCCGC